rnacentral:tRNA from 1 species
GCCGAGGUCGUGCAGGGCUCCCACGGCGACGCCGACACCAUCGCCAAGGCGCUCGACGGCGCCGACCGGAUGUUCUGGCUCGUGCCCCCGGCC